GAAGCUUCUUCCGAUAAAAUUGGAACGAUAGAGAGAAUAUUAGCAUGGCCCCUGCGCAAAGAUGAUACGCACAAAUCGAGAAAUGGUCCAAAUUUUU
rnacentral:snRNA from 1 species